rnacentral:rRNA from 1 species
GAUGAACGCUGGCGGCGUGCCUAAUACAUGCAAGUCGAGCGAACUGAUUAGAAGCUUGCUCCUAUGACGUUAGCGGCGGACGGGUGAGUAACACGUGGGCAACCUGCCUGUAAGACUGGGAUAACUUCGGGAAACCGAAGCUAAUACCGGAUAGGAUCUUCUCCUUCAUGGGAGAUGAUUGAAAGAUGGUUUCGGCUAUCACUUACAGAUGGGCCCGGGGUGGAUUAGCUAGUUGGUGAGGUAACGGCUCACCAAGGCAACGAUGCAUAGCCGACCUGAGAGGGUGAUCGGCCACACUGGGACUGAGACACGGCCCAGACUCCUACGGGAGGCAGCAGUAGGGAAUCUUCCGCAAUGGACGAAAGUCUGACGGAGCAACGCCGCGUGAGUGGUGAAGGCUUUCGGGUCGUAAAACUCUGUUGUUAGGGAAGAACAAGUACAAGAGUAACUGCUUGUACCUUGACGGUACCUAACCAGAAAGCCACGGCUAACUACGUGCCAGCCGCCGCAGUAACAC